GCAACCCGCCUGGCAGCCUUCCAAAAUUGACAUUUUAGGAAUCGAAAUUGUAGGAAGAUUUUGCUAACCUUAUUAGAUAUUUGUAAUUCCGAAUAAUCUUUGAAUAUGGGUGGGUCGGCUAGUAGAACAAGAAAAAUUACGAUCGACAACGAUAAUCCGACGAGUGUUAUAAAGGUCUCUGAAGAAUGCGUCCAGCGUAUAAGGGGGCAUCAAGCCCCAACGGUAAGCCACCAGCAAUCUUCUCCUACAGAGGUUCCUCAAAUGGCACCAGCAUUUUUAUAUGAGCCUAGUUUAACAUCAAUUCAACUUCGACAGGAUAAUUUGAAGAAUUUGAAAGACAAUGAUGAUUACUGGGAAAAACGAGUGAAAAAUUUGCAAAAGAAUCAUGAAGAGAUUAAGAAGGUGAUGGAAACUGAAUAUGAGAAGGCAAUGAAUGAAGUCUCUGGCAAGAAAAAUGCUGAGGAUAGUCUCAAGCAACUCACUUCUAUUCCAUGUGGUGCUGACAGAGCAAAAAUUAUUGCUUGUUAUAAGAAGUACAAGAAUGAACCAAUGAGGUGUGCUAAAGAGGUACAAGAGUUUGCAGAUUGUGUGGAUCGUUCAACAGUAAUGAUUGCAAGCAAAUAGAAGCAAGGCAGAAACAGAGAAUGUAAAAUUAUAGUAUCAUUCUGUAAAUAUUUAUGAGUUUUGCUGAAGAACUCUUUAAUUGCCAAUUGAUUUUAUUUAUAUAGGUGAGCUGACAUCUUUACAUCACAAUCUUUAAUUGGAGGACUCAAACAAAUGUGGUUUAUGUGGCAAUUUGGAGAAACAUACUAUUUAUAGGUGUUUCCGAACUUAUCAAAUUUUAGUAGUGAUUGUUUUAUUAAUUAAAACAUUUAAGAAAAGUUUUCGGUGGCAAAAACGGGAAGGUGUUAAUCUCAGAAACCACACAAAACUAAAGUUUGAAAUUUGCAUCUAGCUAUGAUCUAGUGCAGUAUUUAUUGGGGAGUUUUCAAUAAAAUGCAUAUGUCUGUUUUUGAUUAAACUGAAAUAUCUAAGAAAAUACCUAAUGCACAGCAUUGCUAUGUAUACUAUAUUAAAGAGAAAUAAUUCUCCACUGUAUGUGCAAA